rnacentral:rRNA from 1 species
AACGAACGCUGGCGGCAUGCCUAACACAUGCAAGUCGAACGAGACCUUCGGGUCUAGUGGCGCACGGGUGCGUAACGCGUGGGAACCUGCCCUUAGGUUCGGAAUAACUCCCCGAAAGGGGUGCUAAUACCGGAUAAUGUCUUCGGACCAAAGAUUUAUCGCCUUUGGAUGGGCCCGAGUGGGAUUAGCUAGUUGGUAGGGUAAAAGCCUACCAAGGCGAGGAUCCAUAGCUGGUUUGAGAGGAUGAUCAGCCACACUGGGACUGAGACACGGCCCGGAAUCCUACGGGAGGCAGCAGUGGGGAAUAUUGGACAGUGGGCGAAAGCCUGAACGAGCAAUGACGCGUGAGUGAUGAAGGCCGUAGGGUUGUAAAGCUCUUUUACCCGGGAUGAUAAUGACAGUACCGGGAGAAUAAGCACCGGCUAACUCCGUG